rnacentral:lncRNA from 1 species
UAUUAAACUAAUGUGUGCCAUUAACUUCAUUAGCUGAAUUCCAUUUGAUUUUUGAAGUGGGUAUACCAUAUAUUGGUCCAUAUUCAACCAACAUUUGUAAUUGAAUUUGGUAGCUGGUUAGAAGUUUUCUUGAUCAUAGCUCAAGUUCACCUUUUUGGUAAAUGUCAAGGUCAUUUGAAAUUAAUAAGUGAGGACAGAUAAUAGUCAGGCUCCACUUUUUAUGUUUUUAUUGUUUAAAAUUUCAGACUUAUUGAUUUUAUGUGGAUGGUUGUCAUAUUGGCAAUCAUCCCACAUCUCCUUAUUUUUAUAUCAUGUUUUUUUUUUUAACAUAAUGAGGCUGUAUAUAGGUCAGAAC